rnacentral:lncRNA from 1 species
UAGUAUUUUAUAUGAUUUUUUUUUACUAAUAAAUAAUUAGAAACACAUUUAAGUAAAAAAAUUAUAUAAAUUAUAUAAUAACAAUAAAUGACAAAGAAUAUAACAAACAAGGUACAACAUAAACCUAAAAACAAUUUCAGCACUUGAAGUUUUUUAAAUCUAAAUAAAAUAACAGACCUAUCUAGGAAGGGGUCAAGAUUAAGCACAUUGAAUGGUACAGUUCUCAAAAUAUCAGGGCAAUAAACAAUUUAAUUUGAUAUAAUCUAAAAUGAUCACUUGUGUUACUAAGUCUAACAACAUUAACAUCAACUUUCAACAUAGUUUGUCCAAUUUAGUCUCAUGUUCAUGUUAUCAUUAUGAGGUGUUCACAGCUGCAUACAGUGAAUCUACAGGAAAGGUCCAAGAACUGUAGUAAAUAAAUAAAAUAAAAAUUUUCAUUAUCCUGUCAUAUCAUGUUGAAAAACAGGAAUUUUGCAGAAGAAUUUUUUACUGGAUCACUUGUGUUACUUUAGUGCCUUGACUAUAUAAGAUAAAAAAAACGAUCACCUAUGAGAAUUCAUGCCACCUAAAUUGUUAGCAAGUAUGUAGUUGAAUCUGCAAAGUCUUUAGGACAAAAAUAAGUCUAACAACAUUUACAUCAACUUUCAACAUAGUUUGUCCAAUUUAGUGUCAUGUUCAUGUUAUCAUUAUGAAGUGUUCACCUCUGCAUACAGUGAAUCUACAGGAAAGGUCCAAGAACUGUAGUAAAUAAAUAAAAAAAAAAUGUUCAUUAUCCUGUCGUAUCAUGUUGAAAAACAGGAAUUUUGCAGAAGAAUUUUUUACUGGUAAGUUGUUUGGGGUGGGUGGGGGGUGUAAGGGUAGUGUUGAUGAAAAACGUUUUUUUUGCAUAAAAUAAUUACUUUGAAAAAAUAAUUUACUCUCUCAGGUUACAGAAAAUUAACUAUAACUUAUAUUAUUCUUUAUUUCGAAUUACUUAUACACAGAUUUGUAUAGUUUUUAUUAAAACAAUCUUUUUGAAUGGUAUUUUUUAAAUUUUCUUAAUAAAUUACGAAGUUUUUCCUCUAAGGUAAUUAUUUUCUGGCGUAAAAACCCCUUUUUCAUUAAUCCUACCACCAACAAAUAGCUCUACAUCUAGAUCAAAACCUGUUAAGCCUGAAUAGCACAGAAAUCCACUUUAUAUAUUUUUCUAUUUAUAAUAUAAGACAAUUGGAACCAUCUGAGAUCACAAUAAUUCAUAAUAAUGGCUGCCUUGUUAACCAACUGGUGGAUUGUAAUUGUAAUUCUAGGAUCACUUGUGUUACUUUAGUGCCUUGACUAUAUAAGAUAAAAAAAAAACGAUCACCUAUGAGAAUUCAUGCCACCUAAAUUGUUAGCAAGUAUGUAGUUGAAUCUGCAAAGUCUUUAGGACAAAAAUAAGUCUAACAACAUUUACAUCAACUUUCAACAUAGUUUGUCCAAUUUAGUGUCAUGUUCAUGUUAUCAUUAUGAAGUGUUCACAGCUGCAUACAGUGAAUCUACAAGAAAGGUCCAAGAACUGUAGUAAAUAAAUAAAAAAAAAAUGUUCAUUAUCCUGUCGUAUCAUGUUGAAAAACAGGAAUUUUGCAGAAGAAUUUUUUACUGGUAAGUUGUUUGGGGUGGGUGGGGGGUGUAAGGGUAGUGUUGAUGAAAAACGUUUUUUUUUGCAUAAAAUAAUUACCUUAAAAAAAUAAUUUACUCUCUCAGGUUACAGAAAAUUAACUAUAACUUAUAUUAUUCUUUAUUUUUAAUCACUUAUACACAGAUUUGUAUAGUUUUUAUUAAAACAAUCUUUUUGAAUGGUAUUUUUUAAAUUUUCUUAAUAAAUUACGAAGUUUUUCCUCUAAGGUAAUUAUUUUCUGGCGUAAAAACCCCUUUUUCAUUAACCCUACCACCAACAAAUAGCUCUACAUCUAGAUCAAAACUUGUUAAGCCUGAAUAGCACAGAAAUCCACUUUAUAUAUUUUUUUAUUUAUAAUAUAAAACAAUUGGAACCAUCUGAGAUCACAAUAAUUCAUAAUAAUGGCUGUCUUGUUAACCAACUGGUGGAUUGUAAUUGUAAUUCUAGGAUCACUUGUGUUACUUUAGUGCCUUGACUAUAUAAGAUAAAAAAAAAACGAUCACCUAUGAGAAUUCAUGCCACCUAAAUUGUUAGCAAGUAUGUAGUUGAAUCUGCAAAGUCUUUAGGACAAAAAUAAGUCUAACAGCAUUUACAUCAACUUUUAACAUAGUUUGUCCAAUUUAGUCUCAUGUUCAUGUUAUCAUUAUGAAGUGUUCACCUCUGCAUACAGUGAAUCUACAGGAAAGGUCCAAGAACUGUAGUAAAUAAAUUUAAAAAAAAUGUUCAUUAUCCUGUCAUAUCAUGUUGAAAAACAGGAAUUUUGCAGAAGAAUUUUUUACUGAUCACCUGUUGAAACCUGUUGAGCCUGAAUAGCACAGAAAUCCACUUUAUACAUUUUUCUAUUUAUAAUAUAAAACAAUUGGAACCAUCUGAAAUCACAAUUCAUAAUAAUGACUGCCUUGUAAACCAAAUGGUGGAUUGUAAUUGUAAUUCUAGGAUCACUUGUGUUACUUUAGUGCCUUGACUAUUGUCAGAAAUAUAGAAAAAUAAAACCCAACUUUAAAAAAAAAUAACUAUUUUAAUUACAAUUUAAGAUUUAAAAAUAAAAUGAACAAAAGCAAACAAAAUAUAAAAGUCACCGGGAUCGACUUAAAAUUUCAAUAGUCAAAGCCUUACCUAUUUGCUUUUCCCAAAUUAUGCUGAGAUCGAUAUUCCCUUUCAUAAUAUAACGUUGACCUGGACCACGAUGACGACGGUACCAAGCCAGGCUAUAUGCACGUGAUCCUUAUUCGGCAUAUUUCUUACACUAUAUAAGAUAAAAAAAAUGAUUCAUAAUUUCUAUCGACUACAAGCCUUCAUGCCAAUUAAAUUGUUAUCAAGUAUUUAGGACAAAACUAAGUCUAACAACAUUUACAUCAACUUUCAACAUAGUUUGUCCAAUUCUGUCUCAUCUUCUGCAUACAUUGAACCUACAGGAAAUGUCCAAGAACUGUAUGUAGUAAAUAAAUACACACAUUUUCAUUAUCCUCAUAUUUAUUAUAUUUAU